GAUGAACGCUGGCGGCGUGCCUAAUACAUGCAAGUCGAGCGAACAGACGAGGAGCUUGCUCCUCUGACGUUAGCGGCGGACGGGUGAGUAACACGUGGAUAACCUACCUAUAAGACUGGGAUAACUUCGGGAAACCGGAGCUAAUACCGGAUAAUAUAUUGAACCGCAUGGUUCAAUAGUGAAAGACGGUUUUGCUGUCACUUAUAGAUGGAUCCGCGCCGCAUAAGCUAGUUGGUAAGGUAACGGCUUACCAAGGCAACGAUGCGUAGCCGACCUGAGAGGGUGAUCGGCCACACUGGAACUGAGACACGGUCCAGACUCCUACGGGAGGCAGCAGUAGGGAAUCUUCCGCAAUGGGCGAAAGCCUGACGGAGCAACGCCGCGUGAGUGAUGAAGGUCUUCGGAUCGUAAAACUCUGUUAUUAGGGAAGAACAAAUGUGUAAGUAACUAUGCACGUCUUGACGGUACCUAAUCAGAAAGCCACGGCUAACUACGUG
rnacentral:rRNA from 1 species